UAACACAUGCAAGUCGAACGGUAGCACAGAGGAGCUUGCUCCUUGGGUGACGAGUGGCGGACGGGUGAGUAAUGUCUGGGAAACUGCCCGAUGGAGGGGGAUAACUACUGGAAACGGUAGCUAAUACCGCAUAACGUCGCAAGACCAAAGAGGGGGACCUUCGGGCCUCUUGCCAUCGGAUGUGCCCAGAUGGGAUUAGCUAGUAGGUGGGGUAACGGCUCACCUAGGCGACGAUCCCUAGCUGGUCUGAGAGGAUGACCAGCCACACUGGAACUGAGACACGGUCCAGACUCCUACGGGAGGCAGCAGUGGGGAAUAUUGCACAAUGGGCGCAAGCCUGAUGCAGCCAUGCCGCGUGUAUGAAGAAGGCCUUCGGGUUGUAAAGUACUUUCAGCGAGGAGGAAGGCGUUGUGGUUAAUAACCGCAGCGAUUGACGUUACUCGCAGAAGAAGCACCGGCUAACUCCGUGCCAGCAGCCGCGGUAAUACGAAGGGUGCAAGCGUUAAUCGGAAUUACUGGGCGUAAAGCGCACGCAGGCGGUCUGUCAAGUCGGAUGUGAAAUCCCCGGGCUCAACCUGGGAACUGCAUCCGAAACUGGCAGGCUAGAGUCUUGUAGAGGGGGGUAGAAUUCCAGGUGUAGCGGUGAAAUGCGUAGAGAUCUGGAGGAAUACCGGUGGCGAAGGCGGCCCCCUGGACAAAGACUGACGCUCAGGUGCGAAAGCGUGGGGAGCAAACAGGAUUAGAUACCCUGGUAGUCCACGCCGUAAACGAUGUCGACUUGGAGGUUGUGCCCUUGAGGCGUGGCUUCCGGAGCUAACGCGUUAAGUCGACCGCCUGGGGAGUACGGCCGCAAGGUUAAAACUCAAAUGAAUUGACGGGGGCCCGCACAAGCGGUGGAGCAUGUGGUUUAAUUCGAUGCAACGCGAAGAACCUUACCUACUCUUGACAUCCAGAGAACUUAGCAGAGAUGCUUUGGUGCCUUCGGGAACUCUGAGACAGGUGCUGCAUGGCUGUCGUCAGCUCGUGUUGUGAAAUGUUGGGUUAAGUCCCGCAACGAGCGCAACCCUUAUCCUUUGUUGCCAGCGGUUAGGCCGGGAACUCAAAGGAGACUGCCAGUGAUAAACUGGAGGAAGGUGGGGAUGACGUCAAGUCAUCAUGGCCCUUACGAGUAGGGCUACACACGUGCUACAAUGGCAUAUACAAAGAGAAGCGACCUCGCGAGAGCAAGCGGACCUCAUAAAGUAUGUCGUAGUCCGGAUUGGAGUCUGCAACUCGACUCCAUGAAGUCGGAAUCGCUAGUAAUCGUGGAUCAGAAUGCCACGGUGAAUACGUUCCCGGGCCUUGUACACACCGCCCGUCACACCAUGGGAGUGGGUUGCAAAAGAAGUAGGUAGCUUAACCUUCGGGAGGGCGCUUACCACUUUGUGAUUCAUGACUGGGGUG
rnacentral:rRNA from 1 species